rnacentral:rRNA from 1 species
UGGGGAAUAUUGCACAAUGGGGGAAACCCUGAUGCAGCGACGCCGCGUGAACGAAGAAGGUAUUCGUAUCGUAAAGUUCUGUCCUAUGGGAAGAUAAUGACAGUACCAUAGAAGAAAGCUCCGGCUAAAUACGUGCCAGCAGCCGCGGUAAUACGUAUGGAGCGAGCCUUGACCGGAAUUAUUGGGCGUAAAGGGUACGCAGGCGGUUUAAUAAGUCGAAUGUUAAAGAUCGGGGCUCAACCCCGCAAAGCAUUGGAAACUGAUAAACUUGAGUAGUGGAGAGGAAAGUGGAAUUCCUAGUGUAGUGGUGAAAUACGUAGAUAUUAGGAGGAAUACCAGUAGCGAAGGCGACUUUCUGGACACAAACUGACGCUGAGGUACGAAAGCGUGGGGAGCAAACAGG